rnacentral:SRP_RNA from 1 species
GCCGAGCUCAGUAGUGCGAGUUUGUAACCCGAGCGGGGGCAUCAAAGUGGGCGAACGUUGGUCUAACUUCGACAGGCAGGAUCAGCCGGAGUUGUUUGCUGGCACGCCCGUUCCAAGUAGGGAGUUGAGCCAUGCGACUUGAGCGUAGGCUCUGCGGUUUCUUGGUUCUUAGAGCGGAGGGCACCGCGUCAGGCUGGUUUCACAGAGCAGCGACAACCUCCCGCUCCCGUCGGUGGAAGGAUAACGAGCCGGUGCUCCGAUGAUCCACUCAUUGUCCUAGGGGUCGAGCCCAAUCGGACGAUCACUUUU